GGAUCACUUCCAAAACCACUUGGCCUUCAGCCCCUGCCUCGGCCAGAGGUUUCAUUUUUAACUGAAUAUUUACGAAAGCUGAAAGCGUGCGAGGGGGGUGGGGUGGAAAUAGCGGCUGCUUCUUUUCCAAGGAUUUAUUUAAUGGGGAUGUGUUCAAGGCAAGACCGAAUUCAGAAGGAUAUCGACGUCGUGAUCCAGAAGUCCAGAGCUGAGGACUGCCUGUUUGCAGCUUUAAAUCAUCUAGGAACUUCAUAUAAAAUUUAAUUCCAGUUUCAACUAGUUGUGGAGCAUUUGAUCCAAAAUAAAAUGAAAGUCCUUUCUGAAGCUGUAGAGGAGACUCAAGAAUCAGAACAACCUGAAGUUCUUUAAGCUGUCAGUUGAAGGACUAGG
rnacentral:lncRNA from 1 species